rnacentral:rRNA from 1 species
CCUACGGGGGGCAGCAGUGGGGAAUAUUGGACAAUGGGCGAAAGCCUGAUCCAGCCAUGCCGCGUGUGUGAAGAAGGCCUUCGGGUUGUAAAGCACUUUCAGUGGGGAAGAAAGCCUUGGGGCUAAUACCCUCGAGGAAGGACAUCACCCACAGAAGAAGCACCGGCUAACUCCGUGCCAGCAGCUGCGGUAAUACGGAGGGUGCGAGCGUUAAUCGGAAUUACUGGGCGUAAAGCGCGCGUAGGCGGUCUGAUAAGCCGGUUGUGAAAGCCCCGGGCUCAACCUGGGAACGGCAUCCGGAACUGUCAGGCUAGAGUGCAGGAGAGGAAGGUAGAAUUCCCGGUGUAGCGGUGAAAUGCGUAGAGAUCGGGAGGAAUACCAGUGGCGAAGGCGGCCUUCUGGACUGACACUGACGCUGAGGUGCGAAAGCGUGGGUAGCAAACAGGAUUAGAUACCCCAGUAGUC